rnacentral:lncRNA from 1 species
UUUCGGAAACAUUGCCAGUCUCCUCUUCACCAGCCACUAGAUUCAGGGCAAGCACUGCAUGGAAGGGGCACUAGGUCUGCCUUCCAGCCACCCCAGCAGUUAUUUUACUCUUCUGUUAUGAAAGACAGCAUUUCUAAUAGAAUCACAACCUCACUGGCUUCCCCAUGAACAAUGAUUAAUGUUAUUACCCGGGCUCAGUAGCAGUUUCCAACACAUUGCCCCAUUUUUAUCCUAAAUGUGAACUCCUGGCUCCAUUGAAAUCCAAGCAGCUCUCAACAGAUUUUGCAAGAUUUUGUCCCCAGGAAGGUUUGUAACACCACUUCAAAACUUACAGCAGCUCAAAGAAGCAGGCUUAGUGAAGUAACACUUGUUCAAAUUAAUUUAUGUUGGCAUGAAGUCAGUGCAAAAUACUAAGAGACCAGUUCAAAAAUAUUCAGCGUUUCUCGGUUACUUUGCACUAGCUUCCAUCAUAGCUAGAACAUUUUCAGACGUUUUGCAGGUUUUAUAACAUGGGUCAGGAUUUUAAGUUGUCUUUUUUUUUUUUUUCUUCCUGAGAAUAAUGCCACAUAAGCAACAAUAGAUCCAAGCCAUUUUUUCCCCCAAAAUGAAAACAAAACUGAAAUAUUUUCUUCCCAUGAAAUCUAACAGAGAAAAAUAUCCUGAUUGACAAAUGAUUUUUCAGUCCUUUCAUCAAGUGAAAUCUGGCUCUCAAGGCUACGAUUUGAGACACUGACUCUUUUUUUUUUUUUUUUUUUUUUUGAAGGAGCCUGUCCAACAAGAGAUCUUUGACAGGCUUGAAACACUACAGCAACCUUUAAUUUAGAGAAAUUAUUUCCAGUAGGGAAAGCGGCUGGUCAUGUGCAGGACUCAAAUUAGGACCAACAACAACAACAAAAAACAACACAGAAAUCAGGAUGCAUGCUAUCCAGGCUCAGCUCAGCUCUGAGGCUGAUUUGCGCCUCACCAGCAGCUGCUCGAAUAAGGAGCUGCCCCGAGGAAAUAGGGCUCUUUUCUUACAAUUAGACUCCCAUGAAUGGGCCUUUUCCUUCAUGUAGAACCCCACUGAGGUCAUCAAAGGAUUUGCGUCUAAAAAUAGAGGUAAAAUCUCAGAAGAAUCAACUUCCUAAUGGCAUCUCAGUGUUU